ACGUGGGUAACCUGCCCUGAUGACUGGGACAACCCGGGGAAACCCGGGCUAAUACCGGAUGUGUACCUGAUUCAUAAGCGUCAAGGUGGAAAGGAAGGCUUCGGCCUCCGCAUCAGGAUGGGCCCGCGGCCCAUUAGCUUGUUGGUGAGGUAACGGCUCACCAAGGCUUCGAUGGGUAGCUGGUCUGAGAGGACGAUCAGCCACACUGGGGACUGAGACACGGCCCAGACUCCUACGGGAGGCAGCAGUGGGGAAUCUUGCGCAAUGCGCGAAAGCGUGACGCAGCAACGCCGCGUGGGG
rnacentral:rRNA from 1 species